rnacentral:rRNA from 1 species
GCCCACCGAUUGGACAAACUUAAACCCUUUGCAGUUGAAAUCAGCGUCUGAAAAAACUUAAUAGUUACAACUUUCAACAACGGAUCUCUUGGUUCUGGCAUCGAUGAAAAACGCAGCGAAAUGCGAUAAGUAGUGUGAAUUGCAGAAUUCAGUGAAUCAUCGAAUCUUUGAACGCACAUUGCGCCCCUUGGUAUUCCAUGGGGCAUGCCUGUUCGAGCGUCAUUUGUACCUUCAAGCUCUGCUUGGUGUUGGGUGUUUGUCUCCUGUAGACUCGCCUUAAAACAAUUGGCAGCCGGCGUAUUGAUUUCGGAGCGCAGUACAUCUCGCGCUUUGCACUCAUAACGACGACAUCCAAAAGUACAUUUUUACACUCUUGACCUCGGAUCAGGUAGGGAUACCCGCUGAACUUAAGCAUAUCAAUAAGCGGAGGAAAACCAUUACCUAGA